UGCGUAGGUGGUUUUGUGUGUCGGAUGUGAAAUCCCAUGGCUCAACUGUGGAAUUGCAUUCGAAACUGCGGAACUAGAGUGCAGGAUGGGAGAGCGGAAUUCUUGGUGUAGCGGUGAAAUGCGUUGAUAUCAAGAAGAACACCGGUGGCGAAGGCGGCUCUCUGGAAUGCUACUGACACUGAGGCACGAAAGCUGGGGGAGCGAACAGGAUUAGAUACCCUGGUAGUCC
rnacentral:rRNA from 1 species